ensembl:lncRNA
CCGGGCGCGGUGGCGGCGGCGGCGGCGGCGACAGCAGCGACGCGGCCGGGCUCGGCCAAGGAAGUUAGAGCAAGUUCGGCGGCGCGGGGCGGUAGGGCGCGACUCAGGCCGUCCGAGCGCGGGGGCGGGGCGCGGAGGGCGGGGCCGGGGGCGCGGCGCCGGGUGGCUGCUGAGAAAGGGGCGCCGCUUCCCUGGGCCUCCCGGCGCGGCGCCGCCCUCCGCGCCCGGCCCCCGCCUAUAGCCCCGCCCCCGCCCCGCCCCUCCCGGCCUUCCAGUCCGCGCCCGGGCUGAGCCCGCGGGGCCCCGGGCCCCUUCGAACCAGUCUGGGCGGGGCGGGAGGCGAAGGCGGCCCUGGUCGGCGCUCGCCGGGUGGGUUCGUGGCGCAGGCCUAGGCGGGACCCGCACCCCGCGUUUGGGGCCUCCGCAAUAUGCGGACGCCACGUCGGCGUUGUCACUGACCCAACCGGAACCCAGCCUCCUUGAGAGCGCGAGCUCUGGGGGCCACGUUUCGCGGCGGGGCACGACGAGGGUGACCGGGUAGAGAGGGAUAGAGUCACCAAAGUUUGGCAAGGUAUAAACCCAUCCAUGAGAAAGACUACAUUCUCCCAGCCACUGUUACAUAAUCUGAAACUGAACCCAUGAAAUCUCCAAGGAAUGCACGUGCAGCCCUUAAUCCUGGCCAGUAGGAUGUGAGCAAAAGUGAUACAUGCUUCUUCUAGGUCAUACCUUAAGAGAAAGAAAAAUAAAAAAGAUUAUAGCAAAAAAGAAAGCAAUCUCAUUUACAAUAGCAUCCAAAUAAUUAAAUAAACCAAGGAGGUAAAAGACCGGUACACUGAGAAGUAUAAGACAUUGAUGAAAGAGCCUAAAGAGGAUACAAGAAAAAAAAAGGGAAGGAAAAGAAGAAGACACAAAUAAAUGGAAAGAUAUUCCAUGUUCCUGGAUUGGAAGAAUUAAUAUUGUGAAAAUAUCCAUUCUACCCAAAGGAAUUUACAGACUCAGUGUAAUCCCUAUCAAAUUUCUAAUGGCAUUUUUAGAAUACCUUUUAGGGAAACCUAUCGUAAAACCCUAAAUAGCCAAAGAAAUCCUAAAAAAGAACAAAUCUAGAGGCAUCACACUUUCUGAUUUUGCACUGUAGGGAACAUUCCAUGCAAAGAUGGGCACAAUUAAGGACAGAAAUGGUAUGGACCUAACAGAAGGAGAGAUAUUAAGAAGACGUGGCAAGAAUACACAGAAGAUCUAUACAAAAAAGAUCUUCAUGACCUAGAUAACCACUAUGGUGUGAUCACUCACCUAGAGCCAGACAUCCUAGAAUGCGAAGUCAAGUGGGCCUUAGGAAGCAUCACUACGAACAAAGCUAGUGGAGGUGAAUUCCAGUUGAGCCAUUUCAAAUCCUAAAAGAUGAUGCUGUGAACAUGCUGCACUCAAUAUGCCAGCAAAUUUGGAAAACUCAGCAGCGGCCACAGGACUGGAAAAGGCCGUUUUCAUUCCUAUCCCAAAGAAAGGCAAUGCCAAAGAAUGCUCAAACUACCACUCAUUUGCACUCAUCUCACAUGCUUGCAAAGUAAUGCUCAAAAUUCUCCAAGCCAGGCUUCAACAAUAUAUGAACUUCCAGAUGUUCAAGCUGGAUUUAGAAAAGGCAAAGGAACCAGAGAUCAAAUUGCCAACAUCCGUUGGAUCAUCGAAAAAGUGAGAGAGUUCCAGAAAAACAUCUGCUUUAUUGACUAUGCCAAAGCCUUUGGCUGUGUGGAUCACAACAAACUGUGGAAAAUACUUCAAGAAAUGGAAAUACCAGACCACCUGACCUGCCUCCUGAGAAAUCUAUAUGCAGGUCAAGAAGCAACAGUUAGACCUGGACUUGGAACAACAGAUUGGUUCCAGAUCGGGAAAGGAGUACGUCAAGGCUGCAUAUUGUCACUUGCUUAUUUAACUUAUAUGCAGAGUACAUCAUGUGAAAUGCCAGGCUACAUGAAGCACAAGCUGGAAUCAACAUUGCUGGGAGAAAUAUCAAUAACCUCAGAUAUGCAGGUGACACCACCCUUAUGGCAGAAAGUGUAGAGGAACUGAAAAGCCUCUUGAUGAAAGUGAAAGAGGAGCGUGAAAAAGUUGGCUUAAAACUCAACAUUCAGAAAACUAAGAUCAUGGCAUCUGGUCCCAUCACUUCUUGGCAAAUAGAUGGGGAUUUCCCUAAUAGAAACAGUGAAAGACUUUAUUUUCUGGGGCUCCAAAAUCACUGCAGAUGGUGACUGCAGCCAUGAAAUUAAAAGAUGCUUGCUCCUUGGAAGAAAAACUAUGACCAACCUAGAUAGCAUAUUAAAGCAUCAGAGACUACUUUGCCAACAAAGGUCAGUCUAGUCAAAGCUUUGGUUUUUUCAGUAGUCAUUUAUGGAUGCAAGAGUUGAACUAUAAAGAAAGUUGAAUGCCAAAGAAUUGCUGCUUUUGAACUGUGGUGUUGGAGAAGACUCGAGAGUCCCCUGGACAGCAGGGAGAUCCAACCAGUCAAUCCUAAAGGAAAUCAGUCCUGAAUAUUCAUUGGAAGGACUGAUGUUGAAGCUGAAGCUCCAAUAUUUUGGCCACCUGAUGUGAAGAGCUGACUCAUUGGAAAAGAUCCUGAUGCUGGGAAAGAUUGAAGGCAGGAGGAGAAGGGGACGACAGAGGAUGAGAUGGUUGGAUGUCAUCACCAACUCAAUGGACAUGAGUUUGAGUAAGCUCCAGAAGUUGGUGAUGGACAGGGAAGCCUGGCAUGCCACAGUCCAUGGGCUCCCAAAGAAUCGGACAUGACUGAGCGACUGAACUGACGGACUGAAUGUUUGUGGUGAUCCACACAAAGGCUUUUGCAUAGUCAAUGAAAAGGAAAUAGAGGUUUUUCUGGAAUUCCCUUGCUUUCUCUAUGAUCCAAUGGGUGUUGGCAAUUUGAUCUCUAGUUCCUCUGCCUUUUCUAAACCUAGCUUGUACAUCUGGAAGUCCUCAGUUUACAUAUUGCUGAAGCCUAGCUUGAAGGAUUUUGAGCAUAAAAUGAGUGCAAUUGUACAAUAGUUUGAACAUUCUUUGGCACUGCCCUUCUUUGGGAUCAGAAUAAAAACUCACCUUUUCCAGUCCUGUGGCCAUCAGCAAAAGGUUUUGUAGCCUCAGCUCUGGGGGCUUAAUUCAGAGCUCUUUUGUCUUCUUCAAAAUGUUGGUACUGACCUGUUUGGGAUCCUAUAACAUCAUAUUUCUGUAACUCUGUUUUACCCCAUAAAGUGAGGGGUAGGAUCAAGAUUUUAACUCAUUGAGUCUAUGGUGGGAGUAUUUCAAGUAGGAAAUGGAACCAGCGUGUCUUGCUGGAUGUAGAGAGUAGUUUGAGGCAUUAUUUGUUGGAAAGAAGCUCUGCCAGGAGAGGAGUUUCCAGAGACCUGGCCUCUGCCUCUGGCUACUCCGUGACCUCUCCCAUUCUAAAUAUGGCUGGGCCAGCCCUGAGCAUGUACUUGUGUAAUGAGAAGGUUCUCUCGCCAACUCUUUGGUUCCUCUGAAUCAAGAGAGACAGGAUAAGUGCUCAUUUCUUUUUUUCUUUCCCAGGUUUUAAAAUGAAUUAAUUUUCCAGUAUCAUCCAAAGACUUUUUAAUUUUUUUUUUUAGCGUUUAAAAAUUUUUAAAGGAUUGUUGUGAACUUAUGAAUUUAAACAUAUCUUAUAUGUUCUAAUCCAUCUUAACUAAAGAUGCUCAUGUUGUCCCAUCUUUUGCAAGAAAGAACCCUUCACGGUAGAUCUUGAGUCCUUUCUUUCUACAAGCCUUCAGCGGUUUUGGAGCACUUGCUUGAUAACUGAUAUGACAAGAUAUUCCAGCAUCCUAACUGGUCUCCAUGGCUGAUCUUCUAUCAUCGAUCAUCGAAAAGCAAUCAGAAUAAUGCUUUAGGCAACACUCAUUCACAAAGGCGCAGCGCCAGCGUGACUACGCACAGGCAAAGAGCACAGGAGUUGGAGCUAAAGGAGUAGAUCCAAUGAGUCAGGGUUGUUUUUCUCUCUUAGACAGUCUCAUCUACCUCUGCCCCCUCACCUAUGUUGUUACAGCCACACUUGCUUUCUUUUUAUUCCUUGACUAUAACAAUCCCAUCCCCACCUUUGGGCCUUUGGAUCUGCUGUUUCCUCAUUGAUGUGAGAAGGGUAAUGCUUUUGAGAAAUCAGUGUAUUGAGAAAGAGAACGAAGAACCAGGUAAAUAAAGUAGGCUCUCCCAUUUUCCCAUGCCUACGUACUUUCCCUCUGAGGUUCAGAGGCUUGAUCCUAUCUGAAAUGACCUCUUUACUAUCCUGUGCACCGACCCAGAUCUUCUCCACCCUGAAGAUUCAGCCCAGGCUUCCCCUACAUCCAUGUCCAUGCCAUCCCUGACCCUUGCCAUCCAAAGACCAUUUUACAAAAAUCAUCACAGACUACCAAAGGCAGUCUGGUUCUGGGUAAAUUCUCUUUUAAGGUGUGAGCGCUGGUCUAGACUUGAUGCUAAAUUCUUUGAAGAUGCUUCUCAACCUUAGUUGCAUAUUGGAGUCACCCAGGAGCUUUCAGAAAUGUUUUAUCUGUGUCCCACCCCCGAGAUUCUGAUUUAAUGGGCCUGGGUGUGUGUCCAGGGCAUCAGAAUCUUUCCAACUUCCUCAGGUAAUUCUAUCGUGCCAACAUUUUUAAGAACCAUCAGCUUUCCUGCAAGGACUCUCUCUCUGCAGGUAGUUUAAAUUAUUAUGGAUUCUUGAUUAGUUUAUAAAAUAAAGAAAAGGGAACAUGCUACUGCUUGUCAAAGGCUGCUGAAGCUUCAAGCCCGAGGUACACAGAUAUUAACAGGUUUGCUCUGUAGGGUCGUUAGAUUCUUGCUUCUCAAAGUGUGGUCCAUGGGUCACUAGAACAUCAUUACCAGGAGCCUGUUAGAGGUGUGAAAACUCAAGCCCCGCCCCUCCUCCAGUCUUGAGAACUGUGUAACUUUCAGUACAAAUGGUUUUGUCCAGCCCCCACAGUAGGAGACCUGAACAAAACUAUGCUCCCUAGCAUAGUUUUUAGCACUCAAGGUUUCUUGGGGAGAUCCAGCCCCCUGAGUCCUUGCCUGGGGAAGCUCAAGGCUGUCAAAAGAAUUUACCCAUUGCUCCAGCCAAACAUCUGACCAUAGGCCUCUGACCUACAUUUUCUUUUUUUAAGUUGAUGUAUAUUUUAUUUUUUUAAACUUUUUAUUUUAUAUUGGAGUAUAGCUGAUUAACAACAUUGUGAUAUUUUCAGGUGGACAGCAAACAGACUCCAUUUUCUUCCUUUUGUUUUUUUUUCCCUUUCCUUAGAGCAUUUACUUUAAAAAAAAGGAAAGAAAAAACCCCUCACAACUGUAAAUGUUCUCUGUCCCUUUAAGAUGUGUAUGUUAUCUCCUGAAACCCAGGAGUAUCUUCCUUAAGAACCUGGGGGCAUCCCUCUGAAAUGUCCUCAGCAAGACAGAUAGGGCUCCAUCUUCCAGUCUCUGUGGAAGGAUGGAAACCUAACCUGCUGAAUGAGCCAGUUAGCAGAGACAGCCUGAUCACAGUGAUCAGUGCCCCCCACCUGCCGUUUGUAAUUUUCCACCACUUUGACUUUGUUCAAAUCCCAGCUCAUCUCCCCUCCCACUCCUUCAUCUUCCCUUUAAAAUUCCAGUCACCUUUGUGCACAGCCUGGC